rnacentral:rRNA from 1 species
GACGAACGCUGGCGGCGUGCUUAACACAUGCAAGUCGAACGAAGUGGCGAACGGGUGAGUAACGCGUAAUCAACCUGCCCUUCAGAGUGGGCCAACAGUUGGCAACGCCUGCUAAUACCGCAUACUGAAGGAGGGGAUUGCGUCUGAUUAGCUAGUUGGAGGGGUAACGGCCCACCAAGGCGAUGAUCAGUAGCCGGUCUGAGAGGAUGAACGGACAAAUUGGGACGUAGACACGGCCCAGACUCCUACGGGAGGCAGAAGUGGGGAAUCGUCCGCAAUGGACGAAAGUCUGACGGAGCAACGCCGCGUGAGUGAUGACGGCCUUCGGGUUGUAAAGCUCUGUUAAUCGGGACGCGGUACCGGAAUAGAAAGCCACGGCUAACUACGUGCCAGCCGCCGCGGUAAUAC